ACGGAGAGUUUGAUCCUGGCUCAGAGCGAACGCUGGCGGCGUGGAUAAGGCAUGCAAGUCGAGCGAUCUCCGCAAGGAGAUAGCGGCAAACGGGUGCGUAACGCGUAGGUAACCUACCCUGAAGCGUGGGAUAACCCGACGAAAGACGGGCUAAUACCACAUGUGCUCGCGGGGUCGCAUGAUCCCGCGAGGAAAGAUGGCCUCGACCGCAAGGUUGCUAUCACUUUAGGAGGGACCUGCGUCCCAUCAGCUAGUUGGUAGGGUCACGGCCUACCAAGGCAUUUGACGGGUAGCUAGCCUUAGAGGGCGGUUAGCCACACUGGGACUGAGACACUGCCCAGACUCCUACGGGAGGCUGCAGUCGAGAAUAUUUGGCAAUGGGCGAAAGCCUGACCAUGCGACGCCGCGUGCGGGAUGAAGGCCUUCGGGUCGUAAACCGCUGUUACGAGGAACGAAAACCUGCGCUGUGAACAAUGGCGCAGGCGUGACGGUACCUCGAGAGAAAGCCACGGCUAACUCCGUGCCAGCAGCCGCGGUAAUACGGAGGUGGCAAGCGUUGCUCGGAUUUACUGGGUGUAAAGGGCACGUAGGCGGGCGAAAGCUAGGGGAGCAAACAGGAUUAGAUACCCUGGUAGUCCUAGCCGUAAACGAUGGACACUAGGUGUCGGCUCCGUCAAGGGGUCGGUGCCGCAGCCAACGCGCUAAGUGUCCCACCUGAGGAGUACGGCCGCAAGGUUGAAACUCAAAGGAAUUGACGGGGGCCAGCACAAGCGGUGGAACAUGUGGUUCAAUUCGAUG
rnacentral:rRNA from 1 species